rnacentral:rRNA from 2 species
AUCAGAAGUGCGAAUGCUGACAUAAGUAACGAUAAAGCGGGUGAAAAGCCCGCUCGCCGGAAGACCAAGGGUUCCUGUCCAACGUUAAUCGGGGCAGGGUGAGUCGACCCCUAAGGCGAGGCCGAAAGGCGUAGUCGAUGGGAAACGGGUUAAUAUUCCCGUACUUGGUGUUACUGCGAAGGGGGGACGGAGAAGGCUAUGUUGGCCGGGCGACGGUUGUCCCGGUUUAAGCGUGUAGGUGUGUGUUCCAGGUAAAUCCGGUU